UACGAAGGGGGCUAGCGUUGCUCGGAAUCACUGGGCGUAAAGCGCACGUAGGCGGAUCUUUAAGUCAGGGGUGAAAUCCUGGAGCUCAACUCCAGAACUGCCUUUGAUACUGGGGAUCUCGAGUCCGGGAGAGGUGAGUGGAACUGCGAGUGUAGAGGUGAAAUUCGUAGAUAUUAGGAAGAACACCAGUGGCGAAGGCGGCUCACUGGCCCGGUACUGACGCUGAGGCGCGAAAGCGUGGGGAGCAAACAGG
rnacentral:rRNA from 1 species